GCCUGGGUGGCUCAGUCGGUUGAGCAACUGACUUCGGCUCAGGUCAUGAUCUCACAGUUUGUGGGUUUGAGCCCCAUGUCAGGCU
rnacentral:tRNA from 1 species